rnacentral:rRNA from 1 species
GAUGAACGCUGGCGGCGUGCUUAACACAUGCAAGUCGAACGAUGAAGCCCAGCUUGCUGGGUGGGUUAGUGGCGAACGGGUGAGUAACACGUGAGUAACCUGCCCUUAACUCUGGGAUAAGCCUGGGAAACUGGGGCUAAUACCGGAUAUGAGCGCUCAUCGCAUGGUGGGGGGUGGAAAGAUUUAUCGGUUUUGGAUGGACUCGCGGCCUAUCAGCUUGUUGGUGAGGUAAUGGCUCACCAAGGCGACGACGGGUAGCCGGCCUGAGAGGGUGACCGGCCACACUGGGACUGAGACACGGCCCAGACUCCUACGGGAGGCAGCAGUGGGGAAUAUUGCACAAUGGGCGAAAGCCUGAUGCAGCGACGCCGCGUGAGGGAUGACGGCCUUCGGGUUGUAAACCUCUUUCAGUAGGGAAGAAGCGAAAGUGACGGUACCUGCAGAAGAAGCACCGGCUAACUACGUG